rnacentral:rRNA from 1 species
UACAGAGGUCUCAAGCGUUGUUCGGAUUCAUUGGGCGUAAAGGGUGCGUAGGCGGCGCGGUAAGUCGGGUGUGAAAUCUCGGAGCUUAACUCCGAAACUGCAUUCGAUACUGCCGUGCUUGAGGACUGGAGAGGAGACUGGAAUUUACGGUGUAGCGGUGAAAAUGCGUAGAUAUCGUAAGGAAGACCAGGUGGCGAAGGCGGG